UUGUCAUGAUAUGGUUUGGGACCAACAGGUGGCACUGUAGGGCUCCCCCUGCAGUUGCACACCUGUUGGUCAUUAUGUAAUUAUUAGUUGUAUAAAAGGACUCCUGCCCGAACACUCAGUGUCGGGUCAUUGUUGCUUUUUGCUGCUGUCAUGUUUAUUUGUGUCUGUUGGUAUGCUACCGUCAUGGUUUUAGUUUUUUUUUGUUUGCUACUUUGGAUUUGUUUUGUUUUCAUGACUUUGUUUUGGAUUUAGUUUUCUGUGUUUUAUCAAUACACUUCUUCAAAUACA